rnacentral:rRNA from 1 species
AGUCCCGUACGAGGGCACCCUUGUCCUUAGUUACCAGCACGUUAAGGUGGGCACUCUAAGGAGACUGCCGGUGACAAACCGGAGGAAGGUGGGGAUGACGUCAAGUCAUCAUGGCCCUUACGGCCUGGGCUACACACGUGCUACAAUGGUCGGUACAAAGGGUUGCCAAGCCGCGAGGUGGAGCUAAUCCCAUAAAACCGAUCGUAGUCCGGAUCGCACCCUGCAUCUCGACUGCUUGAAGUCGGAAUCGCUAGUAAUCGUGAAUCAUAAUGUCACGGUGAAUACGUUCCCGGGCCUUGUACACACCGCCCGUGGGGCGGGGGCGGCGGGCCGGGCGCGGGGCGCGGCGUUCG